rnacentral:tRNA from 1 species
GCCCGAGUGGUGGAAUGGCAGACACGAAGGACUUAAGAUCCUUUGGCCGCAAGGCCGUGUGGGUUCGACUCCCUCCUCGGGCA